rnacentral:rRNA from 1 species
CUCCCGGAUGUUAGCGGCGGACGGGUGAGUAACACGUGGGUAACCUGCCUGUAAGACUGGGAUAACUCCGGGAAACCGGAGCUAAUACCGGAUAGUUCCUUGAACCGCAUGGUUCAAGGAUGAAAGACGGUUUCGGCUGUCACUUACAGAUGGACCCGCGGCGCAUUAGCUAGUUGGUGAGGUAACGGCUCACCAAGGCGACGAUGCGUAGCCGACCUGAGAGGGUGAUCGGCCACACUGGGACUGAGACACGGCCCAGACUCCUACGGGAGGCAGCAGUAGGGAAUCUUCCGCAAUGGACGAAAGUCUGACGGAGCAACGCCGCGUGAGUGAUGAAGGUUUUCGGAUCGUAAAGCUCUGUUGUUAGGGAAGAACAAGUGCAAGAGUAACUGCUUGCACCUUGACGGUACCUAACCAGAAAGCCACGGCUAACUACGUGCCAGCAGCCGCGGUAAUACGUAGGUGGCAAGCGUUGUCCGGAAUUAUUGGGCGUAAAGGGCUCGCAGGCGGUUUCUUAAGUCUGAUGUGAAAGCCCCCGGCUCAACCGGGGAGGGUCAUUGGAAACUGGGAAACUUGAGUGCAGAAGAGGAGAGUGGAAUUCCACGUGUAGCGGUGAAAUGCGUAGAGAUGUGGAGGAACACCAGUGGCGAAGGCGACUCUCUGGUCUGUAACUGACGCUGAGGAGCGAAAGCGUGGGGAGCGAACAGGAUUAGAUACCCUGGUAGUCCACGCCGUAAACGAUGAGUGCUAAGUGUUAGGGGGUUUCCGCCCCUUAGUGCUGCAGCUAACGCAUUAAGCACUCCGCCUGGGGGAGUACGGUCGCAAGACUGAAACUCAAAGGAAUUGACGGGGGCCCGCACAAGCGGUGGAGCAUGUGGUUUAAUUCGAAGCAACGCGAAGAACCUUACCAGGUCUUGACAUCCUCUGACAACCCUAGAGAUAGGGCUUUCCCUUCGGGGACAGAGUGACAGGUGGUGCAUGGUUGUCGUCAGCUCGUGUCGUGAGAUGUUGGGUUAAGUCCCGCAACGAGCGCAACCCUUGAUCUUAGUUGCCAGCAUUCAGUUGGGCACUCUAAGGUGACUGCCGGUGACAAACCGGAGGAAGGUGGGGAUGACGUCAAAUCAUCAUGCCCCUUAUGACCUGGGCUACACACGUGCUACAAUGGACAGAACAAAGGGCUGCGAGACCGCAAGGUUUAGCCAAUCCCACAAAUCUGUUCUCAGUUCGGAUCGCAGUCUGCAACUCGACUGCGUGAAGCUGGAAUCGCUAGUAAUCGCGGAUCAGCAUGCCGCCGUGAAUACGUUC